GCAUUGGUAGUUCAGUGGUAGAAUUCUCAUCUUCCAUACGGGAGACUCGGGUUGGAUUCCUGGUCAGUACA
rnacentral:tRNA from 1 species